AGCUAACGCGUUAAGUAGACCGCCUGGGGAGUACGGUCGCAAGAUUAAAACUCAAAUGAAUUGACGGGGGCCCGCACAAGCGGUGGAGCAUGUGGUUUAAUUCGAUGCAACGCGAAGAACCUUACCUACUCUUGACAUCCAGAGAACUUUCCAGAGAUGGAUUGGUGCCUUCGGGAACUCUGAGACAGGUGCUGCAUGGCUGUCGUCAGCUCGUGUCGUGAGA
rnacentral:rRNA from 1 species